GAAAAAUUUUCAAUGAAGUCAGUCGAAGUCAGUUCACAAAAAAAUAGAUCGCAAAUUUAAGACGAAAGUACUAGAAUGUAAUAGAAUUGUACAAAAAACCAUUACGUUUGAGCUUUAGUUUCGAAACAUCAUUUCCCUAAAGUUUUGGAUAGGCUGCAUUACCAAGAUUAUCAGAGUUAA